rnacentral:lncRNA from 1 species
AUGUGCCCCGCUCGCCUCCAGGACCGCCAAGUCCUACGGCGUCUCCUGCAGCCCCUGCUCUCUGGUUCCCCCUCCUGGAGCCACGUGUCCUGUCCAGCGCCCUCCCCCAGGGAGCUCCCCCGGGGACGCCCCGCGUCUGCUCCCAGAGCCCCUCAGGACUGCAGCUGCUGGUCCUGCCCACCCACCGCCUGCAGCUUCCCCCCUCUUCUCCCUCGCUGUCCUCUGGGUCCCUCUGCUGCAGACACACUGGUCUCCUCAUGGCACCUGGACCAUGCCAGGUACACUGUCCACUCAGACAACCAAAAGGGGGACCCAGUGACCACUGUCCCCGCCAGAGACAGCAGUGCCAGGGCCCCGAGAGAGGGCCCUCACCCUCCAAGGGGAGCAGGAGGGGCGGGGCCUCACCCCCGGCUGACCUCCCGGGCCACCCGCCCAUCCACAGUGCUCCUCAGGCUGUCAGGGAGCCCCGAGGCCUGUCCUGGGUCUCACGACCUCGCCUGUAAGGGCCCUGGUGCCAUGGCCGUCCAGGAGGACGCUGGGGUUUCACGGGGCACCUCCUGCCAGCCCCGCCCUGCUGGACACCAGGCAGGCACGACCGACUACGAGAGCCAGGUCUGCCGCCGGGACACGGGCUGCGGGAGCCCCGUCUUCUGCCCGCAGCAGGCCCGGUGCCCCGGGGGGCAGAGGGCUGCCCAGGGGCCUCAGGGUCCAUGUGGUCUGACACUCUCCGUGCAGAGCAAACAGGCCCCUCCAGCCAGCAAGAUGGGGGGCAGAGCCGGGGCGGGGCACAAAGGACCGCGUGCCCAGCGUGUUGCGAGGGUCAACACACCGGAGAGGCCUCAGUGGCAGGCCGGCCCGUCCUCACCAUGCGCUUGGGGAAGCGCACCAGCCCUGCUGGAGCCUGGCAGCUUCAGAGUCCCUCCCCUGCACACGGCACCUCCUGCUUGCCACCACCCCAUCAGUGGGGGCCACCACCCCCAUCAUUUUGCAGGAAAAGGACUCGGGCUCCUGGUGUUGAAGUAA